GCGCGCUACACUGACAGAGCCAGCGAGUUUUCAAUCCCUUUACCGGAAGGUAUGGGUAAUCUUGUGAAACUCU
rnacentral:rRNA from 1 species